GUCUUGCUGUCACUUAUAGAUGGAUCCGCGCUGCAUUAGCUAGUUGGUAAGGUAACGGCUUACCAAGGCAACGAUGCAUAGCCGACCUGAGAGGGUGAUCGGCCACACUGGAACUGAGACACGGUCCAGACUCCUACGGGAGGCAGCAGUAGGGAAUCUUCCGCAAUGGGCGAAAGCCUGACGGAGCAACGCCGCGUGAGUGAUGAAGGUCUUCGGAUCGUAAAACUCUGUUAUUAGGGAAGAACAUAUGUGUAAGUAACUGUGCACAUCUUGACGGUACCUAAUCAGAAAGCCACGGCUAACUACGUGCCAGCAGCCGCGGUAAUACGUAGGUGGCAAGCGUUAUCCGGAAUUAUUGGGCGUAAAGCGCGCGUAGGCGGUUUUUUAAGUCUGAUGUGAAAGCCCACGGCUCAACCGUGGAGGGUCAUUGGAAACUGGAAAACUUGAGUGCAGAAGAGGAAAGUGGAAUUCCAUGUGUAGCGGUGAAAUGCGCAGAGAUAUGGAGGAACACCAGUGGCGAAGG
rnacentral:rRNA from 1 species